AGCAGUAGCCGCGGUAAUACGGAGGGUGCAAGCGUUAAUCGGAAUUACUGGGCGUAAAGCGCACGCAGGCGGUCUGUCAAGUCGGAUGUGAAAUCCCCGGGCUCAACCCGGGAACUGCAUUCGAAACUGGCAGGCUAGAGUCUUGUAGAGGGGGGUAGAAUUCCAGGUGUAGCGGUGAAAUGCGUAGAGAUCUGGAGGAAUACCGGUGGCGAAGGCGGCCCCCUGGACAAAGACUGACGCUCAGGUGCGAAAGCGUGGGGAGCAAACAGGAUUAGAGACCCCAGUAGUCCCUGUCUCUUAUAC
rnacentral:rRNA from 1 species